AUACGGAGGGUGCAAGCGUUGUUCGGAAUUACUGGGCGUAAAGCGCGUGCAGGCGGUAAGGUAAGUCAGAUGUGAAAGCCCCGGGCUCAACCCGGGAAGUGCAUUUGAUACUGCCUUUCUUGAGUAUGGGAGAGGAGAGUGGAAUUCCCAGUGUAGAGGUGAAAUUCGUAGAUAUUAGGAGGAACACCCGUGGCGAAGGCGACUCUCUGGACCAAUACUGACGCUCAGACGCGAAAGCGUGGGGAGCGAACAGGAUUAGAAACCCCAGUAGUCC
rnacentral:rRNA from 1 species